UACGGAGGAUCCAAGCGUUAUCCGGAUUUAUUGGGUUUAAAGGGUGCGUAGGUGGUUUGAUAAGUCAGCGGUGAAAGUUUGCAGCUUAACUGUAAAAAUGCCGUUGAAACUGUCGGACUUGAGUGUAAAUGAGGUAGGCGGAAUGCGUGGUGUAGCGGUGAAAUGCAUAGAUAUCACGCAGAACUCCGAUUGCGAAGGCAGCUUACUAAGCUACAACUGACACUGAAGCACGAAAGCGUGGGGAUCAAACAGGAUUAGAUACCCU
rnacentral:rRNA from 1 species